CCUACGGGUGGCAGCAGUAGGGAAUAUUGCUCAAUGGGGGAAACCCUGAAGCAGCAACGCCGCGUGGAGGAUGAAGGUUUUCGGAUUGUAAACUCCUUUUGUUAGAGAAGAUAAUGACGGUAUCUAACGAAUAAGCACCGGCGAAUUCCGUGCCAGCAGCCGCGGUAAUACGGAGGGUGCAAGCGUUACUCGGAAUCACUGGGCGUAAAGAGCGCGUAGGCGGGAUAGCAAGUCAGAUGUGAAAUCCUAUGGCUUAACCAUAGAACUGCAUUUGAAACUGUAAUUCUAGAGUAUGGGAGAGGGAGGUGGAAUUCUUGGUGUAGGGGUGAAAUGCGUAGAGAUCAGGAGGAAUACUGAUUGCGAAGGCGACCUGCUGGA
rnacentral:rRNA from 1 species